rnacentral:lncRNA from 1 species
GUUUGAUCCCAGCCGGUCAGCACCCCACCGUUCGCAAGGAACUCCAUUCUCCCCUAUUUUCGCGUGUCUCUUUCCUUCCGGAUAAGAACCAGCAUUCCGUCUCCUCCACGUUCAUCCCGUUCGGAUUGGAGAUAAACUUAAAUUCCAUCUUCCGGCAUGAUCCCAUGGAGUCAUCCUCAUCCCGUGAACAACCAAACGUAUCCUCCCCUGUUUCGGAAACAGAACAAAGUCAUCCUCCCAUUCCGUGGAUCACAUCCCAGCCGAAUCAAGCCAGCCAUCGUCCGGAUUAAUCCCAGCCUAUCCACGGAUAAACCUGAAUC